UACGUAGGGUGCAAGCGUUGUCCGGAAUCACUGGGCGUAAAGGGCGCGUAGGUGGCCUGUGGAAGUCUGCGGUGAAAGCCCGGCGCUCAACGCCGGGUCGGCCGUGGAUACUCUCGGGCUUGAGCUUACUAGAGGCAGAUGGAAUUCCGGGUGUAGCGGUGGAAUGCGUAGAGAUCCGGAAGAACACCGGUGGCGAAGGCGGUCUGCUGGGGUAAUGCUGACACUGAUGCGCGACAGCGUGGGGAGCAAACAGG
rnacentral:rRNA from 1 species